AGCCAUCAAAGCAUUGUGACUUUUUUUCAGUUAAAUACAUGUUUGUAUAUAUAACAUAUUAGUUUAGCACAGAGCAUGAUAAAUUUCAUCUGGAGCUGAAAAACAAGGGGAUGCAAUCUUGGGAAGCCUUCUUUAGAAUUCUGCCUACCACAAACUCUAUCUACACCUACAAGAUAUCCACACAUCGUUCUGCCCCUUCUUGCCCAGGACAACCGCGCUGGGGGCUAGAGGUCAGGGAAGCUGAUGCUGCAGGUGAUGAAGUCGCCAACAAGGGCCGCACUAACAGUAAUGAACUCCCAAGAACCCUCUUUGCAUGCUCCUGAUAAAUAAUGAAGAUAUACAAAAUCUAAUUUAAAAAAAGACAACGAAUAAAAAUUUUGAAAGUGCUA
rnacentral:lncRNA from 1 species